UCCCCGAUAGUCUAGUGGUGAGGAUAUCUGCUUGUCAAUGAAGAUUCAACGAUUCGCAGGGGACCGGGGUUCAAUUCCCCGUCGAGGAG
rfam:Colletotrichum fioriniae PJ7 Scaffold_713.1, whole genome shotgun sequence.